rnacentral:tRNA from 1 species
GCCGCUCUGGCCCAACUUGGCAAGAGGCGCCGCCCUCAGGAGGCGGAGGUUCAGGGUUCGACUCCCUGGGGCGGCACC